rnacentral:piRNA from 1 species
UCCAGAUCCUUCAGGGUAGCGGAUGAUCCA